AUUGAACGCUGGCGGCAGGCUUAACACAUGCAAGUCGAGCGGAGAUGAGGUGCUUGCACCUUAUCUUAGCGGCGGACGGGUGAGUAAUGCUUAGGAAUCUGCCUAUUAGUGGGGGACAACAUUCCGAAAGGAAUGCUAAUACCGCAUACGUCCUACGGGAGAAAGCAGGGGAUCUUCGGACCUCGCGCUAAUAGAUGAGCCUAAGUCGGAUUAGCUAGUUGGUGGGGCAAAGGCCUACCAAGGCGACGAUCUGUAGCGGGUCUGAGAGGAUGAUCCGCCACACUGGGACUGAGACACGGCCCAGACUCCUACGGGAGGCAGCAGUGGGGAAUAUUGGACAAUGGGGGGAACCCUGAUCCAGCCAUGCCGCGUGUGUGAAGAAGGCCUUAUGGUUGUAAAGCACUUUAAGCGAGGAGGAGGCUACUGAGACUAAUACUCUUGGAUAGUGGACGUUACUCGCAGAAUAAGCACCGGCUAACUCUGUGCCAGCCGCCGCGGUAA
rnacentral:rRNA from 1 species